CAGGACCUGCCUCUGGCCUCAGAAGACAAGGCGGCAGGAGAAUAUAUGCUUCUGAUGGCAGAAACUUUAUACCUCCAGGGCCUAAAACUGUGCAAGUCUUGGUAAACAUCAAAUGCAUGCCUGAAUGAAUGAAGGACGGAACGAAUGCCACAGACUUCUGGAAAAGCUCCUAAAACGUGAGGUCCAAUAUCAUCCAAUUUGGAUAAGAGGUUCUGGGCUGGAAUUCCUGGUUCAGGUUGUUGGGCAAUCUCCCUCUUUGCCUCUCUCGAGCUCACAGUUUGCUGGGCACGGUGCACGUGGCUGAGGCUCCUUCUGAAAUGGACCGAAGUGUGCAGGAAGUGAGGGCUGUGGCCACCCACCCAGGGCGAGGGAGUGGGCUUUUGAAACCCUGCCUCAUCAGCACGUCUACUGCACCACUCCCUCCUCAGGCAUACUGAGCUUGCUUAUGAUGUUGGGACCCAAAGGGAAAAAGGCAGUCUGUAAAUAAGCUCUC
rnacentral:lncRNA from 1 species